GGUGGUGAUGGUGGUGGUUGUUGUGGUGGUGGUGGUUGUUGUGGUGGUUGUGGUUAGCGGGCUGCUGAUGUACAGACGUUGCCUGGACGUUCGUGGCCUGCAGGUUCACUGACUGAACGUUCCCUGAACGUCGCCUGGACGUUCGCCUAGAGACGACCAUGAAAGUUUUACUCUUCAAAGAAGCCAGGGAUGGGGAUGAAGAAGGAGACCCAUACCACCAGGCUCUCUCCGCUGCUGGGAUUCACUCCACACUGAUGCCAGCUCUGUCAUUCCGCUAUGUCAGACUUACUGAGCUACGGGACGCGAUGCUGCGUCCUGGUGACUUUGCCGGCCUGGUGUUGACCAGCCCCCGGGCGGUCGAGGCGGUGAGGCUAGCGGUGAGCGGCGUUGGGGUGAGUCACGUGGGGCACGGACCAAGUUGGGACUGGACUCACUCGGAGCUCACAGCGGCAACGCUCAGCAGCUCGCCCUCAACAUCAUCAGCAGCAGCAGUAGCAUCAGCAGCAGUAGCAUCAGCAGCAGCCAAGGUGAGAUCAUCAUCAGCAG